UAGAUGCGAGAGUAGAGCAUAUCAAUAAGCGGAGGAAAAGAAACUAACAAGGAUUCCCUUAGUAACGGCGAGUGAAGCGGGAAGAGCUCAAAUUUGAAAUCUUCAAGGUUUACCUUGACGAAUUGUAGUUUAUAGAAGUGUUUUCUGUAGUAGAGUUUGGUAAAAGUUCUUUGGAAUAGGACAUCAUAGAGGGUGAGAAUCCCGUAUUUGACCAUUAUUUUCCAGCUGUGUGAUACACUUUCAAAGAGUCGGAUUGUUUGGGAAUGCAGUCCAAAAUGGGUGGUAAAUUUCAUCUAAAGCUAAAUAUUGGCGAGAGACCGAUAGCGAACAAGUACCGUGAGGGAGAGAUGAAAAGAACUUUGAAAAGAGAGUUAAACAGUACGUGAAAUUGUCAAAAGGGAAGCGUUUGACACCAGUGUUGUUUUCUCGAAAAUCAAUUAAAAAUGAUGGGAUUAUGUGUUGUAUUGACUUUAUCAGCUUUCUGCACUUUUUUCUUAUCUUUUUUAAUGCACUUUUCGUUUAACAAGUCAACAUCAAUUUCUUUUGUUGUAAAAGAGUCAUUGGAAGGUGGCUUUUUCUUCGGAAAAAGUGUUUAUAGCCUUUGGCUUCUGCAAUCGGAGAGAUUGAGGUCUGCAGCGUAGAUCCUUCGGGGUUAGAUACAUUUGUGCUAAGCUAUAGUUCUUUAUAGACAACUUGUUGACUAUAAUCAAUCCUGUAACUUACUCGCUUAUGCUAUUUUACCUACGCUUAGGAUGUUGACACACGCGCGUGCUCG
rnacentral:rRNA from 1 species